UGCAGGACUCUGUGGAGGAUCUCAUCCUGGCAGCCCAGCAACUCCUGGGCCAGCAUGCCAAUGUCAGCCACUGAGAACAUCUUCUUCUGGGUGGUAUAGCCCCUUUCCAUGGCCACCUGAAUGAGUCUAUUCAGGGAGAUUCCACUGGCAGGGGGAGGGCUGGAAAGUACUUGCUUUCCACAAAGCCACCAGCCUACACUGGCAAUCUUCUUAGAUGAGGAGGGGCAGGAAAUUGCCAUCAUGGACAAAUCCAAAAUGAAGUAGACGUGGAAGGCUGAGAUUUGGAACAAACUGCUAUGGCUGGGAAGUAGCAAGUAGAGUCCUAUAGACCACCCAGCCUGGAAAGUAUCAUCCUAUUUGCUGCUGUCAUUCCAGGCCACGUAUCCUUCCAAGUACCCUUCCACGUGACCUUCCCUCUGCUUGUCUUGCCAAAUGGCAGUAGCAAAAAUGGAGGAGGGGCUUUGGUCUCAGCAGCCAGGUAAUCAGCCCUAGAUCUAGAAUUGCUUUUUGCUGUGUGCUUAGCUUGAAUUCAACACCUCUGUUUUCAUCA
rnacentral:lncRNA from 1 species